GUGAAUCAUCGAAUUUUUGAACGCAAAUUGCACUCUCUGGUAUUCCGGAGAGCAUGCCUGUUUGAGGGUCAGUUUAACUCACAAUCGCGGUGUUGCUUAUGGUGACGCCAUCGGAAUUGGGUUAUAUUUAAUCUUAAUAAAGGUUUAAAGUGACAUAAAAUUGAUGAUACCUAGUGCAUCUCAAGACGUCCAUAAGACUUUUU
rnacentral:misc_RNA from 1 species